rnacentral:piRNA from 1 species
UCCUCCCAGAAGAGCUGGAAAAACCGACA